AACGAACGCUGGCGGCAGGCUUAACACAUGCAAGUCGAGCGCCCCGCAAGGGGAGCGGCAGCCGGGUGAGUAACGCGUGGGAACGUACCUUUUGGUUCGGAACAACUCCGGGAAACUGGAGCUAAUACCGGAUAAGCCCUAACGGGGAAAGAUUUAUCGCCGAAAGAUCGGCCCGCGUCUGAUUAGCUAGUUGGUGAGGUAACGGCUCACCAAGGCGACGAUCAGUAGCUGGUCUGAGAGGAUGAUCAGCCACACUGGGACUGAGACACGGCCCAGACUCCUACGGGAGGCAGGAGUGGGGAAUAUUGGACAAUGGGGGCAAGCCUGAUCAAGCCAUGCCGGGUGAGUGAUGAAGGACGUAGGGUUGUAAAGCUCUUUUGUCCGGGAAGAUAAUGACGGUACCGGAAGAAUAAGCCCCGGCUAACUUCGUG
rnacentral:rRNA from 1 species